rnacentral:lncRNA from 1 species
AUGGUGCUUUUGGACACUAAGAUGCUGGAAAUUCAGGAUAGUUCUGGUACACAGGGUUAUGCUCCAGCUACUGCUUUAAGAAACAUUAAUAUGAGAACUGUAUAUGGCUCAGAGACUCUAGACUGUGACCAAGUGAAAAAGCCUGAUAGAGUAGUUUUGAUGGAGUGGACUGAAUUUCCCAAAGGAGAAGAUCCAGACUAUUAUAUUGUAACCUAUCAGCUCACAGAUGCUUUCAAUCAAAAAAAUGUAAGAAACAUUUCUAAACUUGAACAAAAACCUGUCAGUACUACAAUUCUUCUGGAGGAAAAUAAGACAUAUGAUGUUACAAUAGAAUCUCUAAAAAAUGGACAUAUCCGAGGUGUAAAAUCAUUUAACACACGUGGAAUUUCAGAAAAUGAUAUCAAAACAUUUGUGACAGCUACUACUGUGUCUUUUAACUGGACUGCAAUGACCAAAGAUUUUUCAGUUUCAGUUUCACUGAAUGAUUCUUCUCAGUUUAUACAAAAAAACAAUGGAUUCUUUGUGUGGACUGAUUUGACACCUGCAACUUUAUAUACAUUUGAGUUUAUAUUUCACCAAUUACAUCUUGAAUUUAUAAAUGUGUCUCAAUCAUUGGAUGUUCAAGCUGAAACAGGCACCUGUUCCCAGGGGUGGCUGGCAUUCCAAGGCAGCUGCUAUAGAAUGAGUAAGGAGAGUAAGCCAUGGAAGAUGGCACAACAAGUUUGUGAAAUGUCUUCGCAAGGGGCACAUCUUGUAGACAUAGGGAGUGAAGGAGAACGUGAUUUUAUUUUAUCUUAUCUCCAGACAAUUAGUCAAAUAGUCAUGUUAUGGACAGGUCUUAAUGACCUAAAGGACGAAGGUCAGCUGUUGUGGACAGAUGGAUCUCCUUAUCUUCUAAAGGCUGGUAUCUCAUCUUUGUCGAUGAUACCAGAAAAUGAAACAGACUGUUUUGCUCUUCAGAGAGAUCACAGUGGUCCAGACUACUUCUUCACAGGAUUUUUCUGCUAUAUACAGCUACCAUAUAUUUGUGAAUAUGAAUUACCCCUCGUACCAGAAAACUUCACGUUUAGUGUGCAUGAUGUCAAGACAACUGAAGCUGUGUUUAUAUGGAGUGAUACGGACAUCUGGCUUAAGUCAGGCUUUGCCCUCAUAAUUAAGUAUUAUUUUGAUCAUAUGAAACCAUACAUUGUGAGCUUGCCUGUGAAUACAACACAGAGAAAAAUCAUGCAGUUGUCUCCUGGCCUUUGCUACAGUUUUUUACUAGCAGCAAGGAACUCAGAUGGGGCACAGACUGUCUUAAGUCCAAUUCUGAAGGUAGAAACAAGUAAGUUACAGAAAUAGAUAGUAAUAAGAACCACAUAAUUAUAUAUUUUUCAUGCUUUUCUUUUGAUUAUGUUAUUCAUUUUGUUGCUAUUUAGUCUGAAAUCAGAAAUAAAUUUGAACAUGACUUCUGAAUCCAGGAUUCACCUGCUUGUAGAGCUGAUUCCAAAAUCUUCGUUUUGCUUUUGUGCUAAAUUGCUUAUGAGAAUAAUGAGGAAGGGUAAGGUGUUUUCACUGGCCACAAGCAGAAUGCCAGCUGCAACUUCAACUUCUGUGAAGUGCAUUUUAAAAACUCAUUGUUGCUUUGAUUUUAGUCACAGAAUUCCUACUGAUGUGUAAAGAUAAAGCUAGAUAUCAGAGUAGUAGCAAGAUGGUUUUUAGCCAUGCUGAUGAAACAGAGUAGCAGACUUUCCAAUCUAAAGUAAAAGUUUUUGUUGAAAUAGAGUUAACCUGCAGUAAAGAUUAGAACAAAUUUUAUGGCUUAAAAAUACAUUGAGUUUUGACCCACUACAUGAUGCUGUGUGGUGUAAGAAAAAAAUAUGAAGCAAUUAACUUAUGUUCUAGUAAAAUUUAGCUAGCUGUCAUUUGGAUGAAGUCAAAUGAAAUGGGCCUGUGGGUAAAGAUGAAAAAUACCUUUGAAUACAAAGGUGAACAAAUAGAUAUUCUUCAAGGAAAAAUUACUUCAUGGACACAAAUAUAAUGCUAGAGGUGCUCCAUCUACCAAAGACUGACACUAUAGAAGAGCUAUCUAUUUUACAACUUGGUUGGCUUUUGGGUGAAUCUAAUAAUUUUGUACUUUGAUUUGAACAAUGCUAACUGUAAAUUUAUAUGUAAUUAUUUAGCGAUGUGCCUGGUAUUUUAUACACUUAAUAUUUUUAUUGUUUAUAUACCUAUAAAUACCCACACAUAACUGCAAAAAAAAAUUGUUUGUCAACAAAUGUAUAACCAGUUAACUCUAAAUGUAUGUGAGGAAGAAAAUACAUAUUAUUAUUAUUAUUAUUAUUAUUAUUAUUAUUAUUAUUAUUAUUAUUAUUAAAAGCUGUUAGACAAGGGAUUUACAAGUUUUGAUCUGCUGCCUGAAAAUUAAUUUUAGGUGCAGAGUUUCUUCAGCUUCUAUUUCUGUGGUACUGGGAAAAUGUUCUGAUUUGUAGAAGUUAGAGAAAGCAUACUCCCUUAAAUUUUUUGCCAAUUUUGUAAAGGCAAUCCAAAUAUGAUACGGAAGUCCUUUGUCUUAAGGUCAGAACAAAAUGCAGGGUUUUCUUUAGGGGAAAGAAACUGUUCCUUUUUUGUAGACAGUUUGAUAUAUUUUGCUUCUUCACCCUCUGGGCUACUUGAAAGUCCCCCCAUCUUCUUGGCCUACCUGCCUCUCUGGCCCCUAGUCAGGUGGCUUGUUUUCCAUUUAUUAGGUGUUGUACUGCA